rnacentral:rRNA from 1 species
UCAGUAGUCAUAUGCUUGUCUCAGUGCACGCCUUUAUACGGUGAAACCGCGAAUGGCUCAUUAAAUCAGCUAUGGUUUACUGGACCGUACCCGUUAAAUGGAUAACUGUAAUAACUCUAGAGCUAAUACAUGCAACUAUGCCCUGAACCGAAAGGCAAGGGGUGCACUUAUUAGAUCAGAAGCUAACCGGGCGUCGGUCGCAAGGCCGGUGUCUGUUGUCGUUCUGGUGACUCUGGAUAAUUGUUACAGAUCGCAGUCGGCCAUGAGUCGGCGACGGGUCCUCCAAAUGUCUGCCCUAUCAACUUUCGAUGGUAGGUGACCUGCCUACCAUGGUGAUAACGGGUAACGGGGAAUCAGGGUUCGAUUCCGGAGAGGGAGCCUGAGAAACGGCUACCACUUCCAAGGGAGGCAGCAGGCGCGCAAAUUACCCACUCCCAGCACGGGGAGGUGGUGACGAAAAAUACCGAUGCGGGACUCCUAGACGAGGCUCCGUAAUCGGAAUGAGUCGACUAUAAAUCCUUUAACGAGGAUCAAUUGGAGGGCAAGUCUGGUGCCAGCAGCCGCGGUAACUCCAGCUCCAAUAGCUGUAUAUUAAAGUUGCUGCAGUUAAAAAGCUCGUAGUUGGAUCUCGGUUUCAUUGUUGCCUGCUGGCUUUAGAGGCGUUUGCUGGCCUUGCGGUGCAUGGGUGAGCCUGUGUGCUGUGGGGUUGGCGGCUUUGGGUCAGUGUGGCGGCGGUGACACCUUUCAGCCAUGUCUGUGGUGAAAUAUCCGCAGGUGUAGGUGAGUGCCGGACGGUGUCCUGCAAUUGUGGGGUUCGUCGGCUCGUCUGCAUGCCUAUUGAUGCCCUUUAAAAGGUGUCUGUGGGCGGAUGGCACGUUUACUUUGAACAAAUUUGAGUGCUCAAACCAGGCCGAUGCUGCCUGAAAAGUUUUGCAUGGAAUAAUGGAAUAGGACUUCGGUUCUAUUUCGUUGGUUUUCGGAUCCGAAGUAAUGAUCAAAAGAGACAGGCGGGGACGUUUGUACGGCUGCGAUAGAGGUGAAAUUCUGGGACCGUAGCCAGACAAACUAAAGCGAAAGCAUUCGUCAAGCAUGUUUUCAUUGGCCAUGAGCGAAAGUCAGAGGCUCGAAGGCGAUCAGAUACCGUCCUAGUUCUGACCAUAAACGAUGCCAACUGACGAUCCGUGAUGGUAGCAUUUAAACCUUCCUCACGGGCAGUCCCCGGGAAACCAUUAAGUCUAUGGGUUCCGGGGGAAGUAUGGUUGCAAAGCUGAAACUUAAAGGAAUUGACGGAAGGGCACCACCAGGAGUGGAGCCUGCGGCUUAAUUUGACUCAACACGGGAAAACUCACCCGGGCCGGACACUAUGAGGAUUGACAGAUUGAAAGCUCUUUCUUGAUUUGGUGGUUGGUGGUGCAUGGCCGUUCUUAGUUGGUGGAGCGAUUUGUCUGGUUAAUUCCGAUAACGAACGAGACUCCAGCCUGCUAAUUAGUUCUCCUGUCCACUGUACUUGUGCAGGCGGGCGCUUGCCAAAUCUGCUCUUCGCGGUUGACCAUCUGGUGGCGUUGUUGGUUGCCUAAAGUGCCGGCCGCAAUGCUGGUGCUUUUUGUGUACUCGUGAUGCAUGUCCGGUGGGAUGACUUGGGCGGAUAGAGCAGUGUCUGCCUCCGAGUACGGCGCGGGUGUCUACUUCUUAGAGGGACAAGCGGGAGAAGCCGCACGAAAUUGAGCAAUAACAGGUCUGUGAUGCCCUUAGAUGUCCGGGGCCGCACGCGCGCUACAAUGACGGUGGCAACGAGUCUGACUUUCUGGCCCGAAAGGGUUGGGUAAACUGGUCAAUCACCGUCAUGACAGGGAUCGGGGCUUGGAAUUGUUCCCCGUGAACGAGGAAUUCCUAGUAAGUGCAAGUCAUAAGCUUGCGCUGAUUACGUCCCUGCCCUUUGUACACACCGCCCGUCGCUACUACCGAUUGAAUGGUUUAGUAAGGUCCUUGGAUUGGCGCCAUUGAAGCCGCAGGGCUCAGGCGGUGCUGAGAAGACGACCGAACUUGAUCAUUUAGAGGAAGUAAAAGUCGUAACAAGGUUUCCGUAGGUGAAAA